AUCCAGCAGGAGAACAUCCAGCAGAACAUCCAGCAGAACAUCCAGCAGCAGAACAUCCAGCAGAACAUCCAGGAGAACAUCUGAACCAUGAAGACUCUGCUGCCUCUCCUCACUCUGCUCGUCCUCCUGACUCUCAGCUCCUCCAGUGUGCUCGGUCCAAGUGAGGCUCUGAAGGACGGAUGCUGUGAGGGCCACACCAGGUUUCCUGUUCCUAAAAACAAAAUCAGAUGCGUGGUGAUGAGCAACUGCAAGACCAAAGCUGUGAUGUGAGUAUUACUGCUACUACUAUGCCUAGUACUGCUAGUACUACUACUAUCCUGCUAGUACUCC